GCUGACGUAGCUCAGUUGGUAGAGCUCCCGACUUGUAAUCGGAAGGUCGUCGGUUCAAAUCCGACCGUCAGCU
rnacentral:tRNA from 1 species